GAUUAGAGUGGCGCACGGGUGAGUAACACGUAGAUAACCUGCCUUUUAGUCUGGGAUAACUAUCUGAAAAGAUGGCUAAUACCGGAUAAUUACAAGUUAGCACAAGCUAGUUUGUUGAAAGAUUUAUCGCUAAUAGAUGGGUCUGCGCACCAUUAGCUAGUUGGUAGGGUAAAGGCCUACCAAGGCAACGAUGGUUAGCGGGUCUGAGAGGAUGAUCCGCCACACUGGAACUGAGACACGGUCCAGACUCC
rnacentral:rRNA from 1 species